rnacentral:rRNA from 1 species
UGGGGAAUUUUUCGCAAUGGGGGAAACCCUGACGAAGCAACGCCGCGUGGAGGAUGAAGGCCUUCGGGUCGUAAACUCCUGUCGACCGGGACGAACGCUACGGGAGCCAAUACCUCCUGUAGUCGACUGUACCGGUGGAGGAAGCCACGGCUAACUCUGUGCCAGCAGCCGCGGUAAUACAGAGGUGGCAAGCGUUGUUCGGAAUUACUGGGCGUAAAGGGCGCGUAGGCGGCCUUGUAAGUCCUGUGUGAAAUCCCCCGGCUCAACUGGGGAACUGCACAGGAGACUGCAUGGCUUGAGUUCGGGAGAGGGAAGCGGAAUUCCGGGUGUAGCGGUGAAAUGCGUAGAUAUCCGGAGGAACACCGGUGGCGAAGGCGGCUUCCUGGACCGACACUGACGCUGAGGCGCGAAAGCCAGGGGAGCAAACGGG